UACGUAGGGGGCAAGCGUUGUCCGGAAUCAUUGGGCGUAAAGCGCGUGUAGGCGGCUCGGUAAGUCCGCUCUGAAAGUCCGGGGCUCAACCCCGGGAGGCGGGUGGAUACUGUCGAGCUCGAGUCCGGAAGGGGCGAGUGGAAUUCCUGGUGUAGCGGUGAAAUGCGCAGAUAUCAGGAGGAACACCGAUGGCGAAGGCAGCUCGCUGGGACGUGACUGACGCUGAGACGCGAAAGCGUGGGGAGCAAACAGG
rnacentral:rRNA from 1 species